GGGGGGGUGUAUAUUAAAUGGAAUGGCCCGUUGGAGCAGCUAGCUAACGUCCAAAUGAUUUUUGAAGUUGGCCUGUCACUUCAGAAUUCUUAAUUCAACUAAGUUUUGAAGUACACAUUCUGAAUUUGGAGUCUGCAGCCAUUUAAUACAAUGUGUCGCAAUAUCACAGUCAAUAUCGAAUGACUGAAAAUAUGGACUUACAAAUCACGACAGUUUGAGGUAGCGAUCAAAGAUCAAACUCAAAUAUAUUGAUACAUACCUCGAGGAACGACCAGGGAACUAAAAUAUUCUGAAAAUAACUUUUUUACACCUCCAAAAUAUGUUGUGUAGACUCCAGAUGUGAAAGAUGUCGACCUUCCCUGGUUGUUGUUGUCAUUCGCCAUCAUUCAGUG